rnacentral:rRNA from 1 species
GAUGAACGCUGGCGGCGUGCCUAAUACAUGCCAGUCGAGCGAACGGACGAGAAGCUUGCUUCUCUGAUGUUAGCGGCGGACGGGUGAGUAACACGUGGAUAACCUACCUAUAAGACUGGGAUAACUUCGGGAAACCGUAGCUAAUACCGGAUAAUAUUUUGAACCGCAUGGUUCAAAAGUGAAAGACGGUCUUGCUGUCACUUAUAGAUGGAUCCGCGCUGCAUUAGCUAGUUGGUAAGGUAACGGCUUACCAAGGCAACGAUGCAUAGCCGACCUGAGAGGGUGUGCGGCAACAAUGGAACUGUGACACGGUCCGGACUCCUACGGGAGGCAGCAGUAGGGAAUCUUCCGCAAUGGGCGAAAGCCUGACGGAGCAACGCCGCGUGAGUGAUGAAGGUAUUCGGAUCGUAAAACUCUGUUAUUAGGGAAGAACAUAUGUGUAAGUAACUGUGCACAUCUUGACGGUACCUAAUCAGAAAGCCACGGCUAACUACGUG